UCCUCUAAGCCUGGUCCUGGCUCUGGUCGGUGGCCCCAGGCCUUUUUUGUGACUCUAGGCUGUCACCACUGGGGAAGACAGCUUGUACUGGCAUCUCUCCUUCCUCUUAGCCUCCUUGCAUGGUGGCUCAUGCUUUCUGCGCUGCCUUGAGAGAGAGCAAGGCCCCAUGGACCGCGCGCAGGCAGCCCCUGUGGCAGGGUGCGUGGAGAGUGCCACACGUUGCAGGGCAGCUGCCUCCCUCCAAAAGGCUCGGGCACAGAGAUGGAGGGAGAAUUCCCCUGUCCCAGAGGCUUCUCCUUCCUCCGGCGUGCCCUCGUGCUGUGGGACGGACUCUGGAUUUGGGAGGCUCCUGCCUCACGCCUGCUGGAUGUGUCAUUCGUGGAAAGUGUGGGCGCCCGCUCUGGAAACGGAUUGUGUUCCCGGAGCCCUUGACGUGGGCCUUUGUCUUCGUUACGUGCCCCUUGUAACAUUUCCUGACAAAUUAAACGCAGCACAGCAGCCGGCCCCAUCUGCAGCAGAGCAGACACGGAUGGAGGGUGAAAUGGGGACAGCUGCAGUUGCAGUCCACAGUAAAUGACAGCACAGAGGGAGAGAAGCAAUAGGGUGUUUUCAGCUGAGAUCCCCAAAGUGACAAGGUGAGAAGACGCAGGGAGCCUGUUCUACCGCAGGAGCCAUGGAGAAGGAGGAUCUUGUCUUGGCGGUGGGUGACCGUGCCGCCUGGCAUGGGGAGGAAGCGGGUGCUGGGUGAGCGAAGGGAAAUGAAGAGGGAAGUUGCUGUGAUGGUGGCAAGAAGAAGUAAGAAAUGACUAAUUGGGCUCCAGUCCAACACAUCCUCCCUCUUGGUCCCCGGUCAUGCAUCAGGGCCAUCCUGGGCUGAAUACUCGCAUGUGUGCAGCCUGAACUAGAGUUGCUCCAUAGCAAAGUCACCUGUUUUGUGGAUGCAUCUGUGAAUGGGGCAUGCGAUGCGUCCUGAGCUGCAGGUGCUGUGGUUGGUUUCCCCAAGGGAUCCUAGGAGGAUCCUCCAGGAUGAGUGGAUCCAGGCCCUGGUGGGGCAGAGCUGAAGGACUCGCCUCGUGCCUUUGCUCUCUCUCGUGUCCCCUCCCCUUCCUUUUCUCUGAAGCG